UACAGAGGUCUCAAGCGUUGUUCGGAUUCAUUGGGCGUAAAGGGUGCGUAGGCGGCGCGGUAAGUCGGGUGUGAAAUCUCGGAGCUUAACUCCGAAACUGCAUUCGAUACUGCCGUGCUUGAGGACUGGAGAGGAGACUGGAAUUUACGGUGUAGCGGUGAAAUGCGUAGAUAUCGUAAGGAACACCUAUAGCGAAGGCAGCUUGCUGGGACGACACUGACGCUAAGGCGCGAAAGCGUGGGGAGCGAACAGG
rnacentral:rRNA from 1 species